rnacentral:rRNA from 1 species
CCUACGGGAGGCAGCAGUGGGGAAUAUUGCACAAUGGGGGAAACCCUGAUGCAGCGACGCCGCGUGAGUGAAGAAGUAUUUCGUUAUGUAAAGCUCUAUCAGCAGGGAAGAAAAUGUCGGUACCUGAGUAAGAAACCCAGGCUAACUACGUGUCAGCAGCCGCGGUAAUACGUAUGGGGCAAGCGCUAUCCGGAUUUUCUGGGUGUAAAGGGAGCGGAGACGGCAGUGCAAGUCUGGAGUGAAAGGGGGGGGCUCAACCCCCGGACUGCUCUGGAAACUGUACGGCUGGAGUGUUGGAGAGGUAAGUGGAAUUCCUAGUGUAGCGGUGAAAUGCGUAGAUAUUAGGAGGAACACCGGUGGCGAAGGCGGCCAACUGGACUUUCACUGACGCUGAGGCUCGAAAGCGUGGGGAGCAAACAGGAUUAGAUACCCCUGUAGUC